AGCAGCCCAGAGCCUGAAUCAGUAUGUGUGUUAGUGGAAGCGUCUGGAAAGGCGCGCGAUACAGGGUGACAGCCCCGUACACAAAAAUGCACAUGCUGUGAGCUCGAUGAGUAGGGCGGGACACGUGGUAUCCUGUCUGAAUAUGGGGGGACCAUCCUCCAAGGCUAAAUACUCCUGACUGACCGAUAGUGAACCAGUACCGUGAGGGAAAGGCGAAAAGAACCCCGGCGAGGGGAGUGAAAAAGAACCUGAAACCGUGUACGUACAAGCAGUGGGAGCACGCUUAGGCGUGUGACUGCGUACCUUUUGUAUAAUGGGUCAGCGACUUAUAUUCUGUAGCAAGGUUAACCGAAUAGGGGAGCCGAAGGGAAACCGAGUCUUAACUGGGCGUUAAGUUGCAGGGUAUAGACCCGAAACCCGGUGAUCUAGCCAUGGGCAGGUUGAAGGUUGGGUAACACUAACUGGAGGACCGAACCGACUAAUGUUGAAAAAUUAGCGGAUGACUUGUGGCUGGGGGUGAAAGGCCAAUCAAACCGGGAGAUAGCUGGUUCUCCCCGAAAGCUAUUUAGGUAGCGCCUCGUGAAUUCAUCUCCGGGGGUAGAGCACUGUUUCGGCAAGGGGGUCAUCCCGACUUACCAACCCGAUGCAAACUGCGAAUACCGGAGAAUGUUAUCACGGGAGACACACGGCGGGUGCUAACGUCCGUCGUGAAGAGGGAAACAACCCAGACCGCCAGCUAAGGUCCCAAAGUCAUGGUUAAGUGGGAAACGAUGUGGGAAGGCCCAGACAGCCAGGAUGUUGGCUUAGAAGCAGCCAUCAUUUAAAGAAAGCGUAAUAGCUCACUGGUCGAGUCGGCCUGCGCGGAAGAUGUAACGGGGCUAAACCAUGCAC
rnacentral:rRNA from 1 species